GGGAGAUCCUGAUUGAUGAUAAUUUGUCCCAGUACUCAGUCAUAAUGCUUGAUGAAGCACAUGAAAGAACAAUUAACACUGAUGUUCUCUUUGGUUUGCUUAAGCAGCUUAUGAAGAGAAGACCUGACCUUCGUCUAAUUGUCACGUCUGCAACUUUGGAUGCAGAGAAAUUUUCUGGUUAUUUCUUUGACUGCAACAUCUUUACAAUCCCAGGAAGAACUUUUCCAGUAGAGAUACUCUA
rnacentral:misc_RNA from 1 species